rnacentral:RNase_P_RNA from 1 species
CGAACCAACCAGACAGUCGCUGGCGGCGCAAGCCGCUGGAGGAAAGUCCGGGCUCCACAGGGCAGGGUGCCAGGUAACGCCUGGGGGCUACGCUGGCGACGGCGUGGCUACGGAAAGUGCCGCAGAGAGCCAGACCGCCGAUGGCCCUUUCUCCGGAAGGUGGCACAGGUAAGGGUGAAAAGGUGCGGUAAGAGCGCACCGCGCAGCGGGCAACCGUUGUGGCAGGGUAAACCCCACCCGGAGCAAGACCAAAUAGGUGCCCCAUGGCGCGGCCCGCGCUGGGCACGGGUAGGUCGCUAGAGGCCGGUGGCGACGCCGGCCCCAGAUGAAUGACUGUCCACGACAGAACCCGGCUUAUCGGUUGGUUCACCUG